rnacentral:misc_RNA from 1 species
GGAUGGAUCAUUACCGGAUGGCGCGUCAGCGCCGCAUCCUCCAAGUAGUGUGCACUGUUGGUGGUGGUGGUGGAAAAGUUCUGCUUCCCCACCACUCCUACCCAACCAACCCUGUCGUACACGUAACACCGCUCUCAAGGUGGUGCCUCUCAAUUAUACACACUGUGACUGGCGGCCGUCAGGCAGCCUCGAACAGAAGCAACGACAACUUUUAGCAACGGAUCUCUUGGCUCUCGCAACGAUGAAGAACGCAGCAAAAUGCGAAACGUAGUGUGACUCGCAGGCACCGUGAAUCAUUGAAUCUUUGAACGCACAUUGCACUGUCCGCAAGGGCAGUAUACGUGUUUGAGCAUCAGAAACACCGAUCCGUGCGGGUGGGGGCGUCGUUUGUCUAAUCUUUGACAGCAGCAGCAAUGCUGUCUGUUGGAGGUGUGGGCUUCGGCGUGCCGCGUACGCACGGGACUUGGGCGUCCGCUGUGUAAAAGCAGCGCCGCCCGAAAUGCAUCACGGAACGCACCGGCCGACCGCGGCAGAGUCAACGGCUCACUGAGCCUGCUCGCUGCCGCACGACCAGGAUGCGUACCGCCAUACGACACUCGGUUGCAGGCGCGCAGAGCGCGUCGCAUCGGACAUUGAUCUCAAAUCAGGUAGGACGACCCGCUGAACUUAAGCAUAUUACUAAGCGGAGGAAAAGAAACUAACCAGGAUUCCCCCAGUAACGGCGAGUGAAGCGGGAGGAGCCCAAAUUUAAAAUCUCGACAGAGAAUUGUAGUUUGAGGAAGCGCGUUCGCGGAGGCGCGGGCACAAGUCCCCUGGAACGGGGCGUCAAAGAGGGUGAGAAUCCCGUCUCUGGCCCGGCACGCCGCCGCAUGUGAUGCGCUGUCAAAGAGUCGGGUUGUUUGGGAAUGCAGCCCAAAGAGGGUGGUAUAUUCCAUCGAAGGCUAAAUACGGGCGAGAGACCGAUAGCGAACAAGUACCGUGAGGGAAAGAUGAAAAGCACUUUGAAAAGAGAGUUAAAGAGUACGUGAAAUUGCUAAAAGGGAAACGCUUGAAGUCAGUGUUGGGCGGCGCGGUCAGCCGGGCGGCACUUUACGGUGUCGGUCGGUGCACUCCGCGACGACCAGGUCAGCAUGGGCUCAGCGUCCCGGGCAGAGCGGUGCGCGAAGGUGGCUCGGCUUCGGCGGAGCGUUACAGCGCGCACUGGUGGCCGGGACAGGGCCGAGGACGGCAGCGCACGCCUUGUGGCUGGCAGCCUGCGUGCUGCGUGGCGUUGACGAGCAGACUUUGCAUGCAAAGACUGUUUGGCGACGACGCGCACUGCGCACGGUUAGCACAGGUGCGCUCAGGAUGCUGACGAAAUGGCUUCAAACGACCCGUCUUGAAACACGGACCAAGGAGUCUAACACAUGUGCGAGUGUUUGGGUGGCAAGCCCGAGCGCGGAAUGAAGGUGACGCGGUGGGACUCUCAUCAGUAGUGAGACGCACCAUCGACCGGUCCAGACUCUCGAGGAUGGAUCCGAGUAAGAGCACAGGUGCUGGGACCCGAAAGAUGGUGAACUAUGCCUGAAUAGGGCGAAGCCAGAGGAAACUCUGGUGGAGGCUCGUAGCGGUACUGACGUGCAAAUCGUUCGUCAAAUUUGGGUAUAGGGGCGAAAGACUAAUCGAACCAUCUAGUAGCUGGUUCCCUC